rnacentral:rRNA from 1 species
GACGAACGCUGGCGGCGUGCUUAACACAUGCAAGUCGAACGGAAAGGCCCUGCUUUUGUGGGGUUCUCGAGUGGCGAACGGGUGAGUAACACGUGAGUAACCUGCCCUUGACUUUGGGAUAACUUCAGGAAACUGGGGCUAAUACCGGAUAGGAGCUCCUGCUGCAUGGUGGGGGUUGGAAAGUUUCGGCGGUGGGGGAUGGACUCGCGGCUUAUCGGCUUGUUGGUGGGGUAGUGGCUUACCAAGGGUUUGACGGGUAGCCGGCCUGAGAGGGUGACCGGCCACAAUGGGACUGCGAUACGGCCCAGAAUCCUACGGGAGGCAGCAGUGGGGAAUAUUGCACAAUGGGCGGAAGCCUGAUGCAGCAACGCCGCGUGCGGGAUGACGGGCUUCGGGUUGUAAACCGCUUUCGCCUGUGACGAAGCGUGAGUGACGGUAAUGGGUAAAGAAGCACCGGCUAACUACGUG